rnacentral:rRNA from 1 species
GAGUUUGAUCGUGGCUCAGAACGAACGCUGGCGGCAGGCUUAACACAUGCAAGUCGAACGCGUGUAGCAAUACACGAGUGGCGCACGGGUGAGUAACACGUGGAUAUCUGCCUUUUGGUUCGGAAUAACCCUGGGAAACUAGGGCUAAUACCGGAUGGUUCCUACGGGAUAAAGAUUUAUCGCCAAAAGAUGAGUCCGCGUCCGAUUAGCUAGUUGGUGAGGUAAUGGCUCACCAAGGCGACGAUCGGUAGCUGGUCUGAGAGGACGAUCAGCCACACUGGGACUGAGACACGGCCCAGACUCCUACGGGAGGCAGCAGUGGGGAAUAUUGGACAAUGGGGGCAACCCUGAUCCAGCCAUGCCGCGUGAGUGAUGAAGGCCUUCGGUU